rnacentral:rRNA from 1 species
UUCGCCUGUUUUAUCAAAAACAUGGUUUUUUGGUAUUUAGAUAAAAAAUCAGGCCUGCCCACUGAAUUUUUUAAAGGGCUGCAGUAUUUUGACUGUACAAAGGUAGCAUAAUCAUUAGUCUUUUAAUUGUAGACUGGUAUGAAAGGUUAGACGGAAAUAAGCUGUUUCAAAUAUAAUUAAUGAAAUUUAUUUUUAAGGAAAAGAGCUUAAAUAUAGUAAGGGGACGAGAAGACCCUAUUAAAUUUAAUUAAUAUUUAUUUAUAAUUUUGUUUAUAUAGAAAAAUUAAAUGUAUAUUAAUUUUACUGGGGCGGUAAGUAACAAACUUUAUUAUUAUUUAAUAUUAUAAGUAGCGGGGUAUUUGAUCCGAAGGGUUUGAUAAUAAGAUAAAAUUACUGUAGGGAUAACAGCGUAAUAUUUUUUGAGAGUUCUUAUUGACAAAAAUGUUUGCGACCUCGAUGUUGGAUUAAGAAAUCUUUUUGGUGUAGUAGUUUAAAAGAAGGUCGUCGACCUUAAUCC